rnacentral:rRNA from 1 species
CUCAGAACGAACGCUGGCGGCGUGCCUAACACAUGCAAGUCGAACGAGAAGUACGUAGCAAUACGUAUUGUAAAGUGGCGCACGGGUGAGUAACACGUGGGUAAUCUGCCCUUGAGUUUGGGAUAACCCCGCGAAAGCGGGGCUAAUACCGAAUAAGACCACGGGGACCAAAGUCCCUGAGGUAAAAGAUGGCCUCUAUUUAUAAGCUAUCACUUGAGGAUGAGCCCGCGGCCCAUUAGCUAGUUGGCAGGGUAACGGCCUACCAAGGCAAUGAUGGGUAGCUGGUCUGAGAGGACGAUCAGCCACACUGGAACUGAGACACGGUCCAGACUCCUACGGGAGGCAGCAGUGGGGAAUAUUGCGCAAUGGGCGAAAGCCUGACGCAGCAACGCCGCGUGGGGGAUGAAGGUUCUCGGAUUGUAAACCCCUUUCGAUCGGAACGAAUCCCCUCCUGGUAAAUAAUCAGGAGGAUCGACGGUACCGAGAGAAGAAGCCACGGCUAACUCUGUGCCAGCAGCCGCGGUAAGACAGAGGUGGCUAGCGUUGUUCGGAUUUAUUGGGCGUAAAGCGAACGCAGGUGGUUUGGUAAGUCAGGGGUGAAAGACCACAGCUUAACUGUGGUAUUGCCUUUGAUACUGCCUUUCUUGAGUAGAGUAGGGGGAAGCGGAAUUCCGAGUGUAGAGGUGAAAUUCGUAGAUAUUCGGAGGAACACCGGUGGCGAAGGCGGCUUCCUGGACUCUAACUGACACUCAUGUUCGAAAGCGUGGGGAGCAAACAGGAUUAGAUACCCUGGUAGUCCACGCCCUAAACGAUGGGCACUAGGUGUGGGAGGUAUCGACCCCUUCCGUGCCGCAGCUAACGCAUUAAGUGCCCCGCCUGCGAGUACGGCCGCAAGGUUGAAACU